rnacentral:tRNA from 1 species
GGCCCGUUCGUCUAGUGGUUAGGACAUCAGGUUUUCAUCCUGGGAACAGGGGUUCGAUUCCCCUACGGGCUA